UACGAAGGUGGCGAGCGUUGUUCGGAAUCACUGGGCUUAAAGCGCAUGCAGGCGGCCGCGCAAGCGUCUUGUGAAAUCCCCCGGCUCAACCGGGGAAUGGCUGGGCGAACUGCGUGGCUUGAGGCAGGUAGGGGUGCGUGGAACUCUUGGUGGAGCGGUGAAAUGCGUAGAUAUCAAGAGGAACGCCGGAGGCGAAAGCGGCGCACUGGGCCUGUCCUGACGCUGAGAUGCGAAGGCCAGGGGAGCGAACGGGAUUAGAUACCCUCGUA
rnacentral:rRNA from 1 species